rnacentral:rRNA from 1 species
AUACGUAGGGGGCGAGCGUUGUCCGGAGUUAUUGGGCGUAAAGGGCGUGUAGGCGGCUUGUUAAGUCAGGUGUGAAAUUUCAGGGCUUAACCCUGAAACUGCGCUUGAAACUGGCAGGCUCGAGGACAGGAGAGGGAAGUGGAAUUCCCGGUGUAGCGGUGGAAUGCGUAGAUAUCGGGAGGAACACCAGUGGCGAAGGCGGCUUCCUGGACUGUACCUGGCGCUGAGGCGCGAAAGCUAGGGGAGCAAACAGGAUUAGAUACCCUGGUAGUCCUAGCCGUAAACUAUGAGUGCUAGGUGUGGGAGGUUAAAAUCCUUCCGUGCCGGAGUUAACGCAAUAAGCACUCCGCCUGGGGAGUACGGCCGCAAGGCUAAA